AAUGGGUCAGCGACUUAUAUUCUGUAGCAAGGUUAACCGAAUAGGGGAGCCGAAGGGAAACCGAGUCUUAACUGGGCGUUAAGUUGCAGGGUAUAGACCCGAAACCCGGUGAUCUAGCCAUGGGCAGGUUGAAGGUUGGGUAACACUAACUGGAGGACCGAACCGACUAAUGUUGAAAAAUUAGCGGAUGACUUGUGGCUGGGGGUGAAAGGCCAAUCAAACCGGGAGAUAGCUGGUUCUCCCCGAAAGCUAUUUAGGUAGCGCCUCGUGAAUUCAUCUCCGGGGGUAGAGCACUGUUUCGGCAAGGGGGUCAUCCCGACUUACCAACCCGAUGCAAACUGCGAAUACCGGAGAAUGUUAUCACGGGAGACACACGGCGGGUGCUAACGUCCGUCGUGAAGAGGGAAACAACCCAGACCGCCAGCUAAGGUCCCAAAGUCAUGGUUAAGUGGGAAACGAUGUGGGAAGGCCCAGACAGCCAGGAUGUUGGCUUAGAAGCAGCCAUCAUUUAAAGAAAGCGUAAUAGCUCACUGGUCGAGUCGGCCUGCGCGGAAGAUGUAACGGGGCUAAACCAUGCACCGAAGCUGCGGCAGCGACGCUUAUGCGUUGUUGGGUAGGGGAGCGUUCUGUAAGCCUGUGAAGGUGUGCUGUGAGGCAUGCUGGAGGUAUCAGAAGUGCGAAUGCUGACAUAAGUAACGAUAAAGCGGGUGAAAAGCCCGCUCGCCGGAAGACCAAGGGUUCCUGUCCAACGUUAAUCGGGGCAGGGUGAGUCGACCCCUAAGGCGAGGCCGAAAGGCGUAGUCGAUGGGAAACAGGUUAAUAUUCCUGUACUUGGUGUUACUGCGAAGGGGGGACGGAGAAGGCUAUGUUGGCCGGGCGACGGUUGUCCCGGUUUAAGCGUGUAGGCUGGUUUUCCAGGCAAAUCCGGAAAAUCAAGGCUGAGGCGUGAUGACGAGGCACUACGGUGCUGAAGCAACAAAUGCCCUGCUUCCAGGAAAAGCCUCUAAGCAUCAGGUAACAUCAAAUCGUACCCCAAACCGACACAGGUGGUCAGGUAGAGAAUACCAAGGCGCUUGAGAGAACUCGGGUGAAGGAACUAGGCAAAAUGGUGCCGUAACUUCGGGAGAAGGCACGC
rnacentral:rRNA from 1 species